UACGAAGGGGGCGAGCGUUGUUCGGAAUUACUGGGCGUAAAGGGCGCGCAGGCGGCUCUGAAAGUCAGAUGUGAAAGCCCCGGGCUUAACCUGGGAAUUGCAUUUGAUACUCUGGAGCUUGAGUGUGGGAGAGGAGAGUGGAAUUCCCAGUGUAGAGGUGAAAUUCGUAGAUAUUCGCAAGAACACCAGUGGCGAAGGCGGCUCACUGGCCCGAUACUGACGCUGAGGCACGAAAGCGUGGGGAGCAAACAGGG
rnacentral:rRNA from 1 species